rnacentral:snRNA from 1 species
AGCUUUGCGCAGUGGCAGUAUCAUAGCCAAUGAGGUUUAUCCGAGGCGCGAUUAUUGCUAAUUGAGAAUUCCUUCAUGUUCUGUCUGUUCUCAAUGUGUAAAUAAAAAGUCUGCAGAUCUGGUGGAAGA